rnacentral:rRNA from 1 species
AUUGAACGCUGGCGGCAUGCCUUACACAUGCAAGUCGAACGGUAACGCGGGGGCAACCCUGGCGACGAGUGGCGAACGGGUGAGUAAUACAUCGGAACAUAUCCAGUAGCGGGGGAUAACCUAUCGAAAGAUUGGCUAAUACCGCAUACGAUCUACGGAUGAAAGCAGGGGACCGCAAGGCCUUGCACUAUUGGAGUGGCCGAUGUCAGAUUAGCUAGUUGGUGGGGUAAAGGCCUACCAAGGCGACGAUCUUUAGCUGGUCUGAGAGGAUGAUCAGCCACACUGGGACUGAGACACGGCCCAGACUCCUACGGAGGCAGCAGUGGGGAAUAUUGGACAAUGGGCGAAAGCCUGAUCCAGCAAUGCCGCGUGAGUGAUGAAGGCCUUAGGGUUGUAAAGCUCUUUUACCCGAGAUGAUAAUGACAGUAUCGGGAGAAUAAGCUCCGGCUAACUCCGUGCCAGCAGCCGCGGUAAU